GAGGUGGGAGGAUCUCUUGAGCCUGGGAGGUUGAGACUGCAGUGAGCUGUGACUGUGCCACUGCACUCCAGCCUGAGUGACAGAGCAAGACCCUGUCUC
rnacentral:miRNA from 1 species